UACGUAGGGUGCAAGCGUUAAUCGGAAUUACUGGGCGUAAAGCGUGCGCAGGCGGUUUUGGUAAGACAGAUGUGAAAUCCCCGGGCUUAACCUGGGAAUUGCAUUUUGUGACUGCCCGGCUAGAGUGUGUCAGAGGGGGGUAGAAUUCCACGUGUAGCAGUGAAAUGCGUAGAUAUGUGGAGGAAUACCGAUGGCGAAGGCAGCCCCCUGGGAUAACACUGACGCUCAUGCACGAAAGCGUGGGGAGCAAACAGG
rnacentral:rRNA from 1 species